CCUACGAGAGGCAGCAGUGAGGAAUAUUGGUCAAUGGGCGCGAGCCUGAACCAGCCAAGUCGCGUGAGGGAAGACGGUCCUAUGGAUUGUAAACCUCUUUUGUCGGGGAGCAAAAGACUCCACGCGUGGCGUUCCGCGAGUACCCGAAGAAUAAGCAUCGGCUAACUCCGUGCCAGCAGCCGCGGUAAUACGGAGGAUGCUAGCGUUAUCCGGAUUUAUUGGGUUUAAAGGGUGCGCAGGCGGAAGAUCAAGUCAGCGGUAAAAUUGUGAGGCUCAACCUCAUCGAGCCGUUGAAACUGGUUGUCUUGAGUGAGUGAGAAGUAUGCGGAAUGCGUGGUGUAGCGGUGAAAUGCAUAGAUAUCACGCAGAACUCCGAUUGCGAAGGCAGCAUACCGGCGCUCAACUGACGCUCAUGCACGAAAGUGUGGGUAUCGAACAGGAUUAGAUACCCGGGUAGUC
rnacentral:rRNA from 1 species